rnacentral:ncRNA from 1 species
AAUUGACGGGGGGCCCGCACAAGCGGCGGAGCAUGCGGAUUAAUUCGAUGCAACGCGAAGAACCUUACCAAGGCUUGACAUACACCGGAAACGUCCAGAGAUGGGGCGCCCCCGCAAGGUCGGUGUACAGGUGGUGCAUGGUUUGUCGUCAGCUCGUGUCGUGAGAUGUUUGGGGGUUUAAAGUCCCCCGCAAACGAGCGCAAACCCCCUUUGUCCUGUGUUUGCCCAGCGGGGGUUUAUGCCCGGGGGGGACUCAUGGGGGAGACUGCCCGGGGGGUCAACUCGGAGGAAAGGGUGGGGGGAUGACGUCAAAAUCAU